rnacentral:rRNA from 1 species
UGGCGGACGGGUGAGUAAUGUCUGGGAAACUGCCCGAUGGAGGGGGAUAACUACUGGAAACGGUAGCUAAUACCGCAUAACGUCGCAAGACCAAAGCGGGGGACCUUCGGGCCUCUUGCCAUCGGAUGUGCCCAGAUGGGAUUAGCUAGUAGGUGGGGUAACGGCUCACCUAGGCGACGAUCCCUAGCUGGUCUGAGAGGAUGACCAGCCACACUGGAACUGAGACACGGUCCAG